GACGAACGCUGGCGGCGUGCUUAACACAUGCAAGUCGAACGAUGAAGCCUAGCUUGCUAGGUGGAUUAGUGGCGAACGGGUGAGUAAUACGUGAGUAACCUACCUUUAACUCUGGGAUAAGCCCGGGAAACUGGGUCUAAUACCGGAUACGACCAAUCUCCGCAUGGGGUGUUGGUGGAAAGCGUUAUGUAGUGGUUAUAGAUGGGCUCACGGCCUAUCAGCUUGUUGGUGGGGUAACGGCUCACCAAGGCGACGACGGGUAGCCGGCCUGAGAGGGUGACCGGCCACACUGGGACUGAGAGACGGCCCAGACUCCUACGGGAGGCAGCAGUGGGGAAUAUUGCACAAUGGGCGCAAGCCGGAUGCAGCGACGCCGCGUGAGGGAUGACGGCCUUCGGGUUGUAAACCUCUGUUAGCAGGGAAGAAGAGAGAUUGACGGUACCUGCAGAGAAAGCGCCGGCUAACUACGUG
rnacentral:rRNA from 1 species